AUGUCGAGAGCUCCUCCUUCCCCACCUUCCCCACACCCACAGCCGCCGCAGAUGGAGGUCGACCCCUCGGGCUGCGGCUGCGGCUGCGGCGAGGAGUCCGAUCGCAUCAGACAACUCAUUCCGUUCGAGUCGCCGCCACGGGAGCUUUAUUGGCAGAUGCAGUACUUCUUUGGGUACAUGCCUCCGAGUCCGCGGAUGAUGCCGCGCUCACCUCCAUCACAACCUCUUGUGCAGCCGCAGCAGCCAGGCCCCAUGGAUAUCGAUCCCCCCGCCGACGGUGGGGACGUCCCGUGGAGUGAAAUGCAACCUUCACUCCCGUCGCCGCCACCUAUGUCCGGUCCCUGUUUCUCGUGGUCUUCGCUACAGUUUUCUGAGUACUGCAAUCCUUGUAGCCCACAGACGCAGUCGCCGGUGUGGUCGGUGACUCUCUGGAAUUUUGAUGAGACAAUAUCGCCUCCACAGAUAGACCCCUGCUCCACACAGAUCGAUCAUGCCGCUCCGGCACCAGUGGCGAGGUCCAUCAGAUUGGUGUCAAUGGUAUGGCAGCACUUCACAAAGGAUAAGGAUGGAGGGGCGGCAUAUUGCAACUAUUGCAGCCAAGGCUUCAAAAUUCGUGGCACUUCUCAUCUGCGGAGACAUCUUCGUGCCCACUAUUGUUUGGAGAAGAAACUGAACAUAGAAUGCAGAUAUUCUGCUGCAUCGAAGAUAGUGGAUAAUAUUCUUGGGACUGGGAUGAAGAGCCAAAGGAAACAGAUGCCCAGCAGUCAGGAAGUAGGCAUCUUAAAUCGCCUUUGGCGCUUGACAGAAGAAAAAUGCCUCCUAAUAGGAUGCGAAAACCAGCAGCAAGUAUAUAUGAUGUUGAACAAAAAAUUUCUGUAG
rnacentral:rRNA from 1 species